rnacentral:rRNA from 1 species
UACGGGGGGGGGCAAGCGUUUGUUCGGAAUUACUGGGCGUAAAGGGCCAGUAGGCGGCCAACUAAGUCCGACGUGAAAUCCCCCAGGCUUAACCUGGGAACUGCGUCGGAUACUGGAUGGCUUGAAUUCGGGAGAGGGAUGCAGAAUUCCAGGUGUAGCGGUGAAAUGCGUAGAUAUCUGGAGGAAUACCAGUGGCGAAGGCGGCUGCCUGGACCAAUACUGACGCUCAUGUGCGAAAGCGUGGGGGAGCAAAACAGG